rnacentral:sRNA from 1 species
AAGAUGCUGAAUGUCUCCGGCCUCUUUGUUCUCCUCUGUGGGCUGCUUGCCUCAUCCUCUGCACAGGAGGUCCUGGCUGGAGUUUCUUCCCAGCUCCUUAAUGUGGGGCAUUCUUUACAGAUUUGACUCAAGGACUCCUCAGGUCAGACUUUCUUCCCAGCCUGCAGACAAUUGGCCUCCAGAAAUCAUUGAGUAGUGCCUUCGAUGGUGUAUCAGGCCUCCUGGACAUCUUUGGGCCUCCACUCACCAAUGAGAUCGACACUGUUAGGAUACAGGUGAAAAAUCCUCAACUCCUCCAAGUCUCCAUUGAGAGCACCCCUCAAAGAAAGGAGGCCACUGUACGAGUACCAUUCACGUCUGAGUUGAUUGUGCAGCUCCUGACCAUGAAGCCCUUCACAGCUAAUAUCCAGUCAGAUAUAAAAGUCCAGAUUCGUUUGGAGAAGAAUGUAGGUGGCAGAUAUGAACUUGCCUUUGGGAACUGCAGGCUCUUGCCUGAGGCAAUUUGGAUCCAAACUGGAGUCCAACUCGCCCCAGCAGCAAAAUUUGUUGUGGCAAACAUAGAGAGAAACCU